GAUGAACGCUGGCGGCGUGCCUAAUACAUGCAAGUCGGGCGAACGGACGAGAAGCUUGCUUCUCUGAUGUUAGCGGCGGACGGGUGAGUAACACGUGGAUAACCUACCUAUAAGACUGGGAUAACUUCGGGAAACCGGAGCUAAUACCGGAUGAUAUUUUGAACCGCAUGGUUCAAAAGUGAAAGACGGUCUUGCUGUCACUUAUAGAUGGAUCCGCGCUGCAUUAGCUAGUUGGUAAGGUAACGGCUUACCAAGGCAACGAUGCAUAGCCGACCCGAGAGGGUGAUCGGCCACACUGGAACUGAGACACGGUCCAGACUCCUACGGGAGGCAGCAGUAGGGAAUCUUCCGCAAUGGGCGGAAGCCUGACGGAGCAACGCCGCGUGAGUGAUGAAGGUCUUCGGAUCGUAAAACUCUGUUAUUAGGGAAGAACAUAUGUGUAAGUAACUGUGCACAUCUUGACGGUACCUAAUCAGAAAGCCACGGCUAACUACGUG
rnacentral:rRNA from 1 species